rnacentral:lncRNA from 1 species
AAUCCACCUAUCCCAAUGUCCAUAUGCAAGUGUUUAACUACACUAAGUUCUUGUUCAAUGACUCAUCUCUAGGGAAUCUGCCUAUCCCUAAGUUCACAUGUCAAGUGUCACUUUGCACUAAGUUAUAUGCCACUCGUUCUGUUGUCAUUGUUAUUUACAUGCCACUCGUUAUGUCUUUAUCAACCAUCGAGUCCAUCUCUUAUCU